rnacentral:rRNA from 1 species
ACGCUCGACACCUACGGGAGGCAGCAGUGGGGAAUAUUGCACAAUGGGGGAAACCCUGAUGCAGCGACGCCGCGUGAAGGAAGAAGUAUCUCGGUAUGUAAACUUCUAUCAGCAGGGAAGAAAGUGACAGUACCUGACUAAGAAGCCCCGGCUAACUACGUGCCUGCAGCCGCGGUAAUCUGAGCGGGCUGGCAAGGC